AUUAGACCGAAAAAAAAUCCAAUGAAAAAUGGGUAAGUGAAAUGAAUAGAGACUUCAACAGAGAAAGUACAAAAGGCCAUUAAGUACAUGAAAAAAUGUUCUGCAUCUUUGGCUAUGAGAUAAAUGGGUGUCAAAAUAACACUGAGAUUCCAUCUCCUUCCAGAAAGAAUGGCUGUCAUCAAGAAAUCAACCAAUAACAAACACCGGGCUGACUAUAAGGAAAGAGGAAACUUGCUACAUUGUAAUGCAAAGUAGUUCAUCCACUCUGGAAGUCAGUAUGGGUCCACUGACUCAGCUAUACCUGUUAUGGGUGUCUUCCUGAAAGGUGCUUCCUGGACAGAGCUACUUCCAGACUGAACCAUUCCUCCUCAAGGUCUUGGAGGGACAGAUACGGAUGUCUCGUCUACUAAAAUACUUUUGGGAAAUCAUCUGUUCACAAGAGCAGCCAACUUUCAGCCCUGUAGGGAUUUGUGUGGCAGGAUUAAGAGCAAUACAGGUCUCUAUGGUAAUCUUCAGGGUGUCCAGAAGGGUGCCUCAUACUUGGGAAGCUGUUCCUCUAUCAACUGAAAAUGACCUUUUUUUCUCAAAAUAGCCCUGACCUGAUGUGGAAUCAGGACUUCUAGUUUUUGUCCCAAAGCUAGAUUCAUGACUUCUUCUGUUAGCAUAACUGCAGCUGCUACUGCCCCUAGGCAGAGUGGUCCUCCAGCAAUCACUCUAUCCAGCUUUUUGAAAAGUAUCCCUCUGGGUGAUAUUUGAAAAAUAUUCCUGUGUUCCAGCUUUUGGGUAAAGACAUCCAGAAAUAUCCAUCUUUCCUUGUAUGGAGAGGAAGGAGGGUUUGCUUAAGUCAGGUACUCCUGACUCCUGCUGGAGCCUGAGUGAAAGUAUGCUUUAUUUCUUGCAAAGCAUUGUCAGUCACUUUUGUCCCAUCUAAAGGCUCAGAUUCAGGACUUUUCCAGCCUUUCACAAAGGCUUUGUCAUUAGUCCAAAAUUAGGUAUCCAGACUUGGUGGAAGCUGACCAUUCCCCAAGAAGAGCAAAGCUGCUGCUUGGUGACAGGAGAUCGGAGAUCAUAGAUGGCCUUAGUCUGGUCCCUAAACAGUUGUCAUUCCCUCGGUUUCACAAUGUAUCCCGAGUAUUGAACUCUCAAGGGGUAUCUGGGCCUUUUCAUUUGAGUUUAUUUCCCUUUUUAGCUAGAAAAUUGAGAUUGAUAGUAUUAUUGUAGAACAGCUCCCAAGUUGGUGUGCAGAUUAGAAUAUUAUCUACACACUGUAGGACAGUGUCCUGUGGAAGUUCUAGGCUCCUUAAGUCCCUUCCCAGUACCCAAGAGAAAAGGUGGGGCUUGUCAUACACAAGAUUAAAAUGCUUGUCAUGCAGCAAUCACGCAGGUCUCUAUUUCAGUGUUUUUUGCAUUCUUUUCUUUAAUAAUCAAAUAUAACUGGGCCGGGGAUUUAGCUCACUGGUUCUGCUGCCUGCUUUGCAAGCACAAGGACCCGAGUUCAAUCCCCAGUACCAAAAAAAAAAAAAAUCAAAUAUAACACACACACAUAUAUAAACACAUCCACACGUACGUGUAUAUGUGUUUACGUAUACACAGUCUUUACGGGGUACAAUUGAUGUGUUGAUGUGUUGAUGUGCUGCCCCGUGUCUGUGCCUGUGUCCCCCUUCCGCCCCAAGAAGCCGCAGCCCUCUGACUCCCCUUAAAGACCUCCUUUGAGAGUCGCACACACCCAGGCCCCUCUUUUCCUCUUCUGUUUGCUUUUGGGGGGAAGUGCCCAGUGAAAGAUGGCACGCGCGCCCCCUAGUGGUCAGAAGGGGAAUCACCCGAGAGAGGAGACGCUGCUGUCUCCGAGGGGGACUCGCGCGUGGACUGCGUGUGCCCCUGUGUGAGUGUGCAGGUGUGAGCAGGGGCAGCUCCGCCUUCCCCCAGCUCCAGUCCCGCAAACGACGCCGCCUCCACCCCGCCCCACAGCCACAGCGGCCCGUCCGACCCCAGCCUCGAAGACCAGCGAGUUCAGGGCGGCGGAGCUGGGGGUGUGGAGGCGCCCAGUCCGGUAUGAGUCGCCAGGGCGCAUGCGCACACCGAGCGGUCGCGGUGACCCCCGAGCCCGAGUGAGGCCUGAGCUGCAGAUCGGCUCCGCUCUCGGCUGAGGAGUCAGCACCGCGCCAGGGCCAGCGUGGACCUGGGGCCCUUUAGGGUCCGCUGGGCAGGUCUGCAGAAGUCUGUGGGAGAGCGGUUCCCUGAGACGCGCGGGGCUGCGACUGCAGCACAGUAUCCAUGACCCACACUGAGGCUUACAGAGGUGCUCUGCUCUCCGCCCUGCUGAAGAGUUUGGUCAGCUGUGGCCCAGUCUGGGGAGGAGAAAACAUGAGGUCAGGCCUUGGGUGGAUGUCAGGGGGCGAAUGUGACCAGACCCCCUGACGCUCCCGGCCUCCCACCCUCUGCCCAGGCCCCUUACCUGCUGCCCUCCCUGGGCUGUCCACAGCCAGGCUGGCCCUGAGGGUGGAGAAAGACCAGGCAGAAGAGGAGGAGCAGGAGCAGCAGGACGAUGAAGCCCGCAGAGACCCCCACGAGGAUGUACAGGGGCUGUGCCUUCAGGCCGGGCAUGGCUGGAAAGACAGAGCCAGGGUAUCAGCAGAGGCACGCACAGAGCACACACUGAUGGAACUCCACCAGGUGCUUGUCACAGACUCGCUUCUCUGAGAACCCAACGUGUGCCACAGCCCUGCAACUCGGGAGUUGCCCGCCCGCUGGCACCACUGUGCACAGGAACAUAGGGCGCUGCAGAGCAGGAGUCUCCCCCUUCCCCAGAGGUGCACCCCUCAUCCUCACUCACCAGCCAUGUGACUGUUGCCCCCUGGCAUCUGCGUGGCUCUUGGGGAGGUGGAGUCUGGAGAGAGGGUCAGGCCUGAGCUGGACACAGCAGGAGCUGCCCCCCUAGCCACCUGCCCUCCCAGACCCUGGUGCCCUCUGCUCCGGCCCAGCCUGUGCAGCUUCUGCAGGGGAGUCGCCCUACAGCUGUGCAGCCCAGGCGGGCGGGCACAUGGUGAUGGCGUCCAAUGUCACCAAAGUUAAGCCAAGGAGAAGUUGUAUUCUUGGCCAUCUGGCUGCAUUUCAAGGGCUCAGUGGCCACAUGCGGCUAACGACAGCAGAUCUGCCCCUGCAGGUCCAGACUGCUUCCCACACACAGGAAGCUGAGCUGCACAGCACUGCCCACCAUGCUUUGCGCACCCUGGCAGAGAUGCACAACCGGAAGGAAGAGGGAGCAGGACCUGGGCCCUGACUCAGGUACAUAGCCUUGUCUCUGAUGUCACCUGUUCCCCACAGCACCCUGAAGAUGAACCAUAGCCUGAUGCCUGCAGGUAGCGGCGAGCGCCCAUCCGUGUUCUCCUUCACCCUCGGUAUGAGCUCUCAGGGCCCCGCGGUGCCUGGGAGGUUCUGGAGCCCAUCCCGCGUGCAGAGAGCCCAUGCUACCCUCCUGCACGUCGCACCCCCUGCAGCUGCCACUUCAAUAUCCUCCAAGGAAAACCAGGCAGCUCCCCAGGCCCCUCUGUCUGCACUUCAUCCCAUGGAAGAGCCAGGGUCCUGCCUGCUGCCCUACACCAUCACCACCCACACUUGCUCACCAUGGGACCCCCGCCGUUCACAUGCCGGUCUGUGCACACAACAGCAGGUGGGUGAUUACACUUUGCACUUUAAAUGCAGCCCCUUGGCGUCACCCAGCGACCCCAGGUCGCCCUGUGUCACAGUGGCCUGCAGCACUGGAGACAACGCCAGGCACAGCAGGUGUGCAGGAGGGGAGCUGAGGCUGCACCGGGUGGCAGAGCCAGCAGAGGCUGCACCAGCAUCGCCACGGUGCCCACGCAGCCGGCCGGCCAGGAAGUGUUUCUCAGAGCAUCACCCAUGACGAGGUGAUGCGUGACACGGAAUGUGGGCAAAUGCAUACAUUAGGCAGUUUUAGCAUCUCUUCUAAAUUUAUAUAAAUAAUUUAAUCAAUUGCCUGUAAAAUACAUAGUAUUCCAAUUAUAUGAAUUAUAUGUACUUAAUAUACCAUCGAUAUUUUAUAUUUAUGCUAAUUAUAGUAAUACCUAUUAAGUUUUAUGUUAUAAACUGAUAUGACAUUGAGUACAUAUCAUGUAUCUUACUGCAGUGAUACACUAAAAUAUUCCGUCAUACUAAUCAUACUGCUUAUGUAGUUAAUGUGUUGCAUAAGUUCGUGCAGUAUGCACGGCGCAGUAUAAAGCCCCGUUGUCGCCUGUGGCUGCCGUGUGUGCCCCAUGUCUCCCAGGCCCUUCUAACCCUCUCCCCUCGGAGCCCAGGAGGGCAAGGCCGCGCCCCCCCGCACCUGAGCGCCCAGCCUGCCACUCCUCCCAGAGCACUUCAGGUUUUCUCUGGCCCAGAACAGGCAGGCACCGGCCUUCGGGACCAGUGUGAAUGCAUCACCCACCCCUGAACCGUUAGCACCCAAUCUGCGCCCAGGGACCCCGAUGCUGAAGCUGGGAGGGGCGGGGCCCUGGUUUGGACCGGAACCCGGAGUCUGAGCCCUUGACCGUCCUACUCCACGGCACGCGGGGGAGAUGCUGAGACUCCCCACGCGGGCGGCAGCACAGCCCGAGGCCGCUGGGAGGCGCCCGUGUGCCUACCCUGGCGCAGGUCCCGCCUGUGGGCAGCCUGGCUCCCCGCCUCCUCCUGGGGCUCUGACCCGGCCCGGGCCUGCACUUGGCCACGGACAGGAACAGCGCCCAGCACAGAGGAAACCCUGCAGAUGGGCAGGGGAGGGCGCACAGCCUGCUCACGCCCGGCCCCUCCAGGAAGGUGGGGCCACAGGUACAGGGGUCCCGAGCCUGGGUGCCCCGACACGACGCGGGGAGGCGGAGCAGUCGCCCCAGGCUCACCAGUAGCGGGCAGAGCCAGUUCUGCCCGGGCUCCUUCAGAGCCUGUGCCUUUCACCAGGAACCUUAACUACCCACGUUUUAAAACAAGAGGUUGUGUUAGAGAUCAGACUGCUGCGGCCCUCUGCCUCUAGGGGAGCUGGGGUUAAAUGCUUUAGCAGGGCCUGGUGCAUGGCCGUGAACACCAGUGGUGCCCAUGUCCUGGUGGUGCCAGGCCACCGCUGAGGGCCGCUGGGUCCCAGCACGGAGCCGCUAGUGGCCCCAGAGCUGAGGACUCUUAGAGACCGAGGCAAGAACAGGGCUCUGUGCAGGGGACUGAAGUCUCUGGGGCUGUGGCAGGAUUGAGACUUGGGGAGGCCGCUUUGGGCCCAUCCCACCAGCUGGGCCCUGCCCUCCCUGAGCAUCCACCUAGAGAGCAUCUGGUCACUGUCCACUCCGACAAGGUCCCAGGUCCCCGGAGAGAGCAGAAAGGGGAACAGGGCUGCAGCGGAGCCCCCUGCCGACCCACCCUGCUGUGGUGGUCACGCCCUCUGCUCCUCCCACACCGCACUCUGCUGACCUCACAGAUCCUCUGUGAACAGCAACUCUGCAGCCCAGGUGAACACACAGGUGGGCUGGACCCUCCUCACCCGACCCUGACUCUGGGAUGUCUCUGGAGCUGACCCCAAAAGGGCAAGGACCAUCCUGUCGCAAAGCACCAUCCACCCUGGUCAGAAGCAUGCCUGACAUGUGCCCUGCCAGUGCAUGGGAGGGACCACACCAGAGGGGACGUAGUCCUGGGCCAGCAGAGCUUGUCUCCAUGGAGGGGACUCUGAUUGUACCAUCCCCAGGGAAAAGACACAUCUGCCCACCCUGUCUGGGACCCACUCCCCACCCAGCCAGCAGGGCCAGCCCUUGCCCACUGGAGCUGCGGUCCAGUGAGACCAGUGCUCCAGGGAGCUUGGGGCAUGAAGGCGGAGGGGACAGGUGUGCAGAGAAGUGGGGAGAGGGCUUGAAGUUGGGAGGAGGGGUGGGAGGCAGGGGGACAGAGGAUGGCAGCAGGGUGCAUGGUCCGGGGACCUGGGG